CAAGUAGUAAAUAAUAACUAUAGCUGCAAAAAUAAGUUCAGUGAAUUAAAAGCACAUCUCUGAAUGUCAUAAUAACAAUGACACAAAAUGGAAGUUUCGAGAGCGUUUCAUUCAUUAGUUUUACAGAUUUUAGUACCUGUUGCUGCAGUUCUUGUCUCAAUGGGACAUCUAGUGGUUCUGAUGGCGUACUGCAAUAAGACAAGAAUAAGAAUAAGAAAACCUUUAAUAGUCCCGCAGUGAGGAAAUUGCGGAAGUAGCUUCAAUCUUCUACUGGAGGAAAGUGUUGGCAUGAACUGUGACGUCAUUGCGGGUGUAAGCAUGCGCAAACACCCAUUGUAAGUACAGACACAACAACACGUGAAGACAAAGUUGAAGUGAAAGCACUUCAAGACUCAUUUGACCACGGUGCGGAGUGACUCAAAUGUUUUGAAGGUUGGCUCAACUUUAAGGAUGGAGGAUUUUACACACUCACGAGACCAGCAGAGGGUGUUGGAAAGAAAGGACCACACCAUUCCUCUUCCCUGUCGACAGCUGCAUCUGACAGUGAGUCUGAUCAAGUCUUCUGACACUCCUGAAACCACUGAUCAACCAACCAGCAGAGACUCACAGAAAUUCCUCAAAACAAACACAAAAGCCCUUGAAAAGAUUUUGAAGAUAGACAUUUAUUUAAUGUAUUACCUGAGGGACAACCCUAAAGUUUAUAAACUAUUAGAGAAACAACUGUCUGCUAUCGGCUGCUCAGUGGAGCUGGAUUUUAACCAGGAGGAGGCAGUGGUGAAAGGGGACAUAGACAAGGAACCUGGACAAGUUGCUGCUGCAGAGAAAUGGGAGAUAAAGCUGGACCGGGUCUUCAUUGCUCUAACUGGCAGCUAUGUUUGCCACCAUGUGACCCAAAGAACUGGUCUUGGCUCUGAUGACAUCAGAGUUUAUAGAGAGAGUAGCUAUUCUGUAGUUGUGGGAGAUGUUGGGGCUGUAAAUGAAAGGAUUGCUAAUCUCGAAAAGAGUGUGACCACCCGAAAGAAAAUUACAGUAGUGGAAAAACAGCUGCAACUGGUUAAAGAAGAAUUUGGUGGAGAAAUUAGUGCAAGUUACCCAGAAGUUAAAAUUUUUGAUCAAAUUAAAUUAAAUGAUUAAAUUGAUCAUUUUAGAGGGGAAGUGCAAAAAGGUGCAGCAAAACUUGAGGAACUAAUGAAAAGGAUAAAGGAAAAGAAAGUUAACCUUCCUUAAGAGUUGCUGACCUUCAUAAAGUCCAGUGGCGCUAUCUCCAAGUACCAGGCUCGGUUUCGACAGAACUUCAGAAAUCCUGUUUCCCUAGAGUUCGAACCAGAUCUGGUUCUGUCCAGUUUGUCCUCAGAUGCACUGGAUGAAGCUUAAGCUGCAAUAAUAAGAGACCUGAUAGUGGACACUGUGGAGCUUCAGGGAGCUGCAGCUGUUCCUCCAGAUGUGGACAGAGUAAAAGAAAUCCUCACCAAAGCAAAGGAUAAAGAAAACUCUGGAGAGUUAAGAGUGGAGACCAUCUUCAUCCCUGGAACAAGUGGAACAUCUGUGACAAAGGUCCAACUUGUAGGAUACAGUGAAAACGUGAUGAAGCUGAAAGAGAUUCUACAUGACUAUCAGAUGAAACCAUGUUGGGACGCAAGAAGUGCUGAUGCUACCACAUCCAGAGCUUGUUAACUGUUUUGAUGAAGUCUUAGACCUGAUUGGUAUGAAGCAGGCAAAUGUGAUAAUAAAAGCCACACGUUUCCCA
rnacentral:lncRNA from 1 species